rnacentral:rRNA from 1 species
AACGUAGGUUCCGAGCGUUAUCCGGAUUUACUGGGCGUAAAGCGCGUUCAGGCGGUUUGGCAAGUCGGGCAUGAAAUCUCUGGGCUCAACCCGGAGAGGUUGUCCGAUACUGCUAAACUGGAGGGCAGUAGAGGGUGGUGGAAUUCCGGGUGUUGUGGUGAAAUGCGUAGAGAUCCGGAGGAACACCAGUGGCGAAAGCGGCCACCUGGACUGCACCUGACGCUGAAACGCGAAAGCUAGGGGAGCGAACGGG